AGAGUUACUACUCCAAACCCAUUGUGAACCUUACCUAUGUUCUGUUGCCUCGGCGGCGUGGUCAGCGCCCCCUCUGAAAAGAGGACGAUGCCCUCCCGCCGGCAGCACCAAACUCUUCGAAUUUUACAGCGGAUUACAGUUCUGAUUUGAAAACAAAAAACAAGUUAA
rnacentral:misc_RNA from 1 species